rnacentral:misc_RNA from 1 species
GAUGAAGAACGCAGCGAAAUGCGAUACUUGGUGUGAAUUGCAGAAUCCCGUGAACCAUCGAGUCUUUGAACGCAAGUUGCGCCCGAAGCCAUCAGGUUGAGGGCACGUCUGCCUGGGCGUCACAUAUCGUUGCCCAAUGCCUAUUGCAGUGCAAUAGGAAUUUCUAGGGCGAAUGAUGGCUUCCCGUGAGCGUUGUUGCCUCGCGGGUGGUUGAAAAUCGAGUCCUUGGUAGGGUGUGCCAUGGUAGAUGGUGGUCGAGUUAGAACGAUACCGAUCAUGUGCAUGCUCCCCAAAAUAUGGCCUCUAUGACCCACACGCGUCUUUUGACGCUCAUGACGAGACCUCAGGUCAGGCGGGGCUACCCGCUGAAUUUAAGCAUAUCAAUAAGCGGAGGA